GCUUACGGCCAUACCACCCUGAAUGCGCCCGAUCUCGUCUAAUCUCGGAAGCUAAGCAGGGUCAGGCCUGUUUAGUACUUGGAUGGGAGACCGCCUGGGAAUACCAGGUGCUGUAAGCU
rnacentral:rRNA from 1 species